rnacentral:rRNA from 1 species
UACGAAGGGGGCUAGCGUUGCUCGGAAUCACUGGGCGUAAAGCGCACGUAGGCGGCUUCUUAAGUCGAGGGUGAAAUCCUGGAGCUCAACUCCAGAACUGCCUUUGAUACUGAAGAUCUUGAGUUCGGGAGAGGUGAGUGGAACUGCGAGUGUAGAGGUGAAAUUCGUAGAUAUUCGCAAGAACACCAGUGGCGAAGGCGGCUCACUGGCCCGAUACUGACGCUGAGGCACGAAAGCGUGGGGAGCAAACGGG